rnacentral:rRNA from 1 species
GACGAGGGAUCCUAGCGUUGUUCGGAAUCAUUGGGCGUAAAGCGGGUGUAGGCGGACUUAUAAGUCAGGUGUGAAAUCCCAGGGCUCAACCCUGGAAGUGCACUUGAUACUGUAAGUCUUGAGUGUGGUAGAGGCUAUUAGAAUUCCUGGUGUAGUGGUGAAAUACGUAGAUAUCAGGAGGAAUACCGGAGGCGAAGGCGGAUAGCUGGGCCAACACUGACGCUGAGACCCGAAAGCGUGGGUAGCAAACAGG